GAACGCUGGCGGCGUGCCUAACACAUGCAAGUCGAGCGAGAAAACUCCUUUCGGGGAGUGAGUAAAGCGGCGCACGGGUGAGUAACGCGUGGGUAACCUACCCUGGAGUGGGGGAUAACCAGCCGAAAGGCUGACUAAUCCCGCAUACGAUCAGCAGGCUCAAGCCUGCUGAGGAAAGAUGGCCUCUGCUUGCAAGCUAUCGCUCUUGGACGGGCCCGCGUUGGAUUAGCUAGUUGGUGAGGUAACGGCUCACCAAGGCUGCGAUCCAUAGCUGGUUUGAGAGGACGACCAGCCACACUGGAACUGAGACACGGUCCAGACUCCUACGGGAGGCAGCAGUGAGGAAUAUUGCGCAAUGGGGGAAACCCUGACGCAGCGACGCCGUGUGAGCGAAUGAAGGCCUUCGGGUUGUAAAGCUCUGUCAGAGGGAAAGAAAGGGUCGGCGGAAUAAUACCCGCAGACAUUGACGGUACCCUCAGAGGAAGCACCGGCUAACUCCGUGCCAGCAGCUGC
rnacentral:rRNA from 1 species